GGACCCGCACAAGUAGUGGAGCAUGUGGUUUAAUUCGAAGAUACGCGCAGAACCUUACCAACACUUGACAUGUUCGUCGCGACUUUAAGAGAUUAAAGUUUUCGGUUCGGCCGGACGAAACACAGGUGCUGCAUGGCUGUCGUCAGCUCGUGUCGUGAGAUGUUGGUUAAGUCCCGCAACGAGCGCAACCCUCACUUUUAGUUGCCAUCAUUAAGUUGGGCACUCUGAAAGAACUGCCAGUGAUAAGCUGGAGGAAGGUGGGGAUGACGUCAAGUCCUCAUGGCCCUUACGUGUUGGGCUACACACGUGCUACAAUGGCGCAUACAGAGGGCAGCAAGCUAGCGAUAGUAAG
rnacentral:rRNA from 1 species